GACGAACGCUGGCGGCGUGCUUAACACAUGCAAGUCGAGCGAUGAAGCACCUUCGGGUGUGGAUUAGCGGCGAACGGGUGAGGAACACGUGAGGAAUCUGCCUUCCACUCUGGGAUAACUCCGGGAAACCGGGGCUAAUACCGGAUAUUUUCAACUGGCGGCAUCGCCGGUUGAAGAAAGUUUUUCGGUGGAAGAUGACCUCGCGGCCUAUCAGCUUGUUGGUGAGGUAAAGGCUCACCAAGGCGACGACGGGUAGCCGGCCUGAGAGGGUGACCGGCCACACUGGGACUGAGACACGGCCCAGAAUCCUACGGGAGGCAGCAGUGGGGAAUAUUGGGCAAUGGAGGAAACUCUGACCCAGCGACGCCGCGUGAGGGAUGAAGGCCUUCGGGUUGUAAACCUCUUUCAGCAGGGAAUAAGCGAAAGUGAAGGUACCUGCAGAAGAAGCACCGGCUAACUAUGUGCCAGCCGCCGCCGUAA
rnacentral:rRNA from 1 species